UGAGUGAGAACAUGUCACCAGGCCCA
rnacentral:piRNA from 1 species